UACAGGCUUAACACAUGCAAGUCGAGGGGCAGCAUGGUCUUAGCUUGCUAAGGCCGAUGGCGACCGGCGCACGGGUGAGUAACGCGUAUCCAACCUGCCUUACACUCUUGGACAGCCUUCUGAAAGGGAGAUUAAUACAAGAUGUUAUCAUGAGUAAGCAUUUUCGCAUGAUUAAAGGUUUACCGGUGUAAGAUGGGGAUGCGUUCCAUUAGAUAGUAGGCGGGGUAACGGCCCACCUAGUCUUCGAUGGAUAGGGGUUCUGAGAGGAAGGUCCCCCACAUUGGAACUGAGACACGGUCCAAACUCCUACGGGAGGCAGCAGUGAGGAAUAUUGGUCAAUGGACGAGAGUCUGAACCAGCCAAGUAGCGUGAAGGAUGAAGGUUCUAUGGAUUGUAAACUUCUUUUAUACGGGAAUAAACGAAUCCACGUGUGGAUUUUUGCAUGUACCGUAUGAAUAAGGAUCGGCUAACUCCGUGCCAGCAGCCGCGGUAAUACGGAGGAUCCGAGCGUUAUCCGGAUUUAUUGGGUUUAAAGGGAGCGUAGAUGGGUUGUUAAGUCAGUUGUGAAAGUUUGCGGCUCAACCGUAAAAUUGCAAUUGAUACUGGCAGUCUUGAGUACAGUUGAGGUAGGCGGAAUUCGUGGUGUAGCGGUGAAAUGCUUAGAUAUCACGAAGAACUCCGAUUGCGAAGGCAGCUUACUAACCUGUAACUGACAUUGAUGCUCGAAAGUGUGGGUAUCAAACAGGAUUAGAUACCCUGGUAGUCCACACGGUAAACGAUGAAUACUCGCUGUAGGCGAUAUACAGUCUGCGGCCAAGCGAAAGCAUUAAGUAUUCCACCUGGGGAGUACGCCGGCAACGGUGAAACUCAAAGGAAUUGACGGGGGCCCGCACAAGCGGAGGAACAUGUGGUUUAAUUCGAUGAUACGCGAGGAACCUUACCCGGGCUUAAAUUGCAACCGAAUAUGGCGGAAACGCUAUAGCUAGCAAUAGCGGUUGUGAAGGUGCUGCAUGGUUGUCGUCAGCUCGUGCCGUGAGGUGUCGGCUUAAGUGCCAUAACGAGCGCAACCCUUGCCGAUAGUUACUAACAGGUCAUGCUGAGGACUCUGUCGGGACUGCCAUCGUAAGAUGUGAGGAAGGUGGGGAUGACGUCAAAUCAGCACGGCCCUUACGUCCGGGGCUACACACGUGUUACAAUGGGGGGUACAGAGGGCUGCUACCACGCAAGUGGAUGCCAAUCCCAAAAACCUCUCUCAGUUCGGAUUGAAGUCUGCAACCCGACUUCAUGAAGCUGGAUUCGCUAGUAAUCGCGCAUCAGCCACGGCGCGGUGAAUACGUUCCCGGGCCUUGUACACACCGCCCGUCAAGCCAUGGGAGCCGGGGGUACCUGAAGUGCGCAACCGCAAGGAGCGCCCUAGGGUAAAACUGGUGACUGGGGCUAAGACGGAACAAGG
rnacentral:rRNA from 1 species